CCUACGGGGGGCAGCAGUGGGGAAUAUUGGACAAUGGGCGCAAGCCUGAUCCAGCCAUGCCGCGUGAGUGAUGAAGGCCCUAGGGUUGUAAAGCUCUUUCGCCAGGGACGAUAAUGACGGUACCUGGAUAAGAAGCCCCGGCUAACUUCGUGCCAGCAGCCGCGGUAAUACGAAGGGGGCUAGCGUUGUUCGGAAUCACUGGGCGUAAAGCGCACGUAGGCGGAUCUUUAAGUCAGAGGUGAAAUCCCAAGGCUCAACCUUGGAACUGCCUUUGAUACUGGGGAUCUUGAGUCCGGGAGAGGUGAGUGGAACUGCGAGUGUAGAGGUGAAAUUCGUAGAUAUUCGCAAGAACACCAGUGGCGAAGGCGGCUCACUGGCCCGGAACUGACGCUGAGGUGCGAAAGCGUGGGGAGCAAACAGGAUUAGAUACCCCAGUAGUC
rnacentral:rRNA from 1 species